UUUAGGAGGAGUUGUUAGAUGAGGUAAGUAGAGAGUAAAAAGUAGUUGAAUUUUUUUAAUAAGAAGAGAUGAUAGAGGGAUUUAUUGUCAAAUAUAGAAAAUAGACAUCUUUAAUGAGAGAAAGUAAAAAUGAAAGAUGGACAUCUUAAGUGGGACGGAGAUAGUAUAUUAUUUCUGUAAAAUAACUUAAAUUUUUUUUGAAGUCAUCACCUACUUCAUUACUUCCUUCAUUUCUUUAUACUUUUCCAGAACUCACAAGUGUAGUGCUAAAUCCUUCUGCUUCCGAGAGAGAGAGAGAGGAGCAACCUAGAGAGAGAAGGGCGCCGGACUGACCUUGUGAGGACUCUCCAAUACCAUGUUUAAAAUCAUUUCAGCAGUUCCCAGCCUGUCAAAAAACGGACUAUUCCAUUACAGAUAGUAUUGGAAAUGAAUGGAAUGGUCCGACUAGCAUGCUAAUGGAAUGGAUUCUGGAUUACAUGCAAAAGUAGAGGCAAAUUGGAUGCAAAUUCAGUAGUUUGAGAAGAAGGAAUCCACAAGACACAAACUGCCCAGUUUGAUGGAUUGGCCAGUGUCUGAGCAAUGUUGACAUCUCUUCAAAGUCGCAUUUCAAAGCAAAGUUGACGAUUCUUUGUGCUACCAACGCCCACAAGUGACACUUUUGAAGGCAAAAGAAGCCAACUACCAUCAUAGGGAGUGGAUAAGACUUCCACGACAGAUUGGUUGGAAGAUGUGUAACAAAAUCAACAAAACUCAUCUUUUGGCCUAACUUUUGAACCACUUUGUCACUUUCUUUAGUUUUAGUUUAGUUUUAUUUCUCUCUCUAGGAACUUUUCUCUCUUCCUUAAGAAGAGAGAUUUCAAACUCAAGGCUGCGAAGAUCAUUGUUCAUCAUGGGUUGAAGUACUAGUAAUUUAGUAGUAGUGUUUAUUUUCUCUAGUUGUUUGUUCUUAACUUGUGGAGUUCUUUUGCACCUUUAUUACUCUUAUUUGUUGUUGUUGUUCUUGUUUUAGAAGCUUAUUUCAAGUAGUUAUUACUCUAAGUGUUUGUGUA